AGUCUCGCGGCUCCCUCGCCUAGGAAGCCGCAGGCCUGGCCACAGAGCGGAGUGGACUACGAUUCCCAGCAGGCCACGCUUUCUUCAUCCAAAGAGGCCUGGCUUUGUGGACUGAGUGGCCUAGAGUUGUAUUAUUGGGUUGUUGUGUUAUUAUUUCCCUAGGCAAUGGAACAUUUAAGGCCUAAUUCUAUCCUUUAGGGGUUGUAUUUUGUUUGUGAUUCCCCUCUUCCUCCUCUUCUUUUAUUUAUGAUCAUUCUUAUUAUUUUUGGUAUUACUUCAUUUCCUUAGUAUUAUUAUUAUAUUGGAAUAUUUCAUUUUCCUCCUCCAACAUCGUCGUCAUCAUCAUUAUAUUGGAACCAUGGGAGUUGCAGUUUUGCCCCGGCUCCAAAAACACAUCUCAGAUUUCCCCCCAAAGAAACGAAAAAGAGGCACCGGUUGAGAAAAUUACAUAUACCAAGGUAUAUAUUUUAUUCAUUACGACUCAUGUUUGGAUGGUGGGCUGUUUCUUCCUGCUCCUUUGCAGGAAGGCGGUCCUGUGUUUGAAUUCCAGCCUUGUUUCCUCAGUUCUUGUUGUUCAG